UCCCCCCCCCCCCAGCUAUCCCUAAUAAUCCCCUUAUUGUUUUUCUAUACUAUGUCUAUUUGUAAAUAUUUUAUUAUCUUAUACUCUUAUGUAUGUUUAUUUUUAUUAGUGAUUCUUUUUGGUAGUUUCUGAAGUGUAGUUGGCAGAUAAUAUUAUUUUUAAUUUUGUUGUACUUUUAUGUACAAGAUGGCGGCUGGCAUAAGCCGGCUCAUUAACCUAGAUCUAAUGUGUAUUGUUGUGACUUUUAUCUGAUGUUAUCUAGAUCUGUUUAUUGUCUACCCAGCCUGUGUGGGUUGUGGCGUAGACUUGACCUAAAAUUUUGUGGCUUUUAUUAGCUACAUGGAGGCUAAUUACUAAUAUGUAAUUACCUCAUGUCUCUAGGUCGGUUUGUGUACUAGACUAGGUCUAGUCUAGCUUUUUUAAACUUUUUACUAUUUUUUAACGUUUUUAUGUAUUGAUUUUUGCAGGCUAUCCUUACUGCAGUACUGCUGUUGUUAGUCUACUGCCUGUAGGCUGUUGUUAGUCUACUGCCUGUAGGCUGUUGUUAGUCUACUGCCAUUAGUCUGCCAUCGUCUCCUUGUAGUACCUUUUUGUGUUAUAUUUUAUUAAUUCUAAGCUUAGGUCUAGGGUAGUAAUAGUUAGAUAGUUGGUUUGGUUAGUCUGUUAGUGUUUGUAGAUUUAGAGGGUUUUAGUCAGAUGCUGAGUUCAGUUGUAGUGUUAGUGUAGCUCUAUAUGUUAUAUUUUAUUAUUGAUUUAUUUGUGUAUGUAAAUAAAGUUUCUUUUUGUUUUAUUUAUCCUAAAGUAAAAGUUUCGUUAUUGCUUUCUUUUAGUUAGCUAGAAUAGUUUAGCUUAGUUCAAUUGUGCUGUCUGGUUGCUUAGGCGACUCUAGCCCCUUGGUCGCAGACCGAGGUGCACAGAUUGGGCCCACCCAGUAGCGCUAACAUCUGCCUACUGUUAAUGAAUUUAAUGUUGAGCAGCAGAAGAGAAUAGGCCACCACAGCUCGCGCCUGCCUGACCUGCUCACAUUUUUUGGUGUCAGAAGUGGGAUCUGUGCUUAAGUAAUCAGACACACAUUGUUUUUUAGGGAUUAGGCUUUUGUUAGGUGGAUUUAGGUUUUGCUAGGCUUUUUUAGGGCUUGUGUUAGGAUUGAAUAUGGUAGCAUUAGUUUUAGGACUUGGCAGCAGUGUUUAUUUUGUUGUAGGUUGAUAGGAAGUGUUUAGGAUAUGGAUAGUCUAGUUUGUUGUUUUGUUUUAUGUUGUGGUUUCCAUAGUCGGUAAAGUUUUUUAUUGUCGUUGAAGAGCUAGGCCUAGAAGUUGGUAGGAUGUAGUUCUAGGAAGUUGUUGUAGUGCAUUGUGAGGUAGUUAGUAUUUGUUGUUAUGGGUUAGUGUUAGGGUUGCUAGGUUAGGUUAGGUUGGCAGAAUGGCAGCAGCGGCAGGAAGGAUGCAGCGGUCCCAGGCUGAAGUUGAGGGGCCUCGGAAUGGCAUGAUCCGAGGACAAGUCUGCAGCUCUCCCAUGCCUUCGGAGAGAUGUCAGCCCAAUGUUAACGGAUGGCGAGAUGACAGUUGAAGUCUGGACUGAUGUGUCAUCGCCAAACUUUGUUAUUGAAUGUGUUAAGCGAUACUACCAAAACUUAGACAGUUCCAGCACGGGUUUUUUUGCAAGUAGCCAUGUACUGGACUGACAGAGGUGCCCCACUUCCACCUCUGUGUUAUAAACAACUGGACCAGUUUGUCCAUUAGGACGACUGUCCGCCCAGUUGCAACGUAUGGUUUAAUGGCCCUCACAUCUUGAGGUCGCCACUGAAGAAAGCCUUCCACGUCAUCUUUCUGUAAACCACAUGGAUUUCGCUCCUCACUUACUGGGUGUCCUGUGUCAGCCGCUGGUCAUCUCUACUGGACAGCGGUGGUGGACCGGCCAGAGAUGUAGAAGUCGUCAAGAGCAGAGCAAACCUGUCGUGUCUUUUUCCCUUUUAUUAAAUGUUUUUUAUAUGUUCUUAUCACACUGUUCAUUGUGUGGCUCCUUUUAUACUUUGACUUGUUUUAAUGUAUUUAUGCAUAUUAUUUUUAAUUUGUAUUUAUGCUUUGAUGUAUUUUGUAUAAUGAUUUUUUUAUUUUUGUAUAUUUCAUGCUUGCUCUACUAAUGGUUUUGCAACCUAGUAGAUAUUUUUUUAAAGUCUUUAUUGGGCUUUCAAUAGCCAAUAUUGAGCUUAGGUUGUUGGUCGCUGGUGUGCAUUCUUCUAGUCAUG